UUAAAAAUAAGCUAAAAUUAAGCUUUUGGGCUCAUACCUCAAAUAUAAAGGAAUCCCUUUUUUUUAAA
rnacentral:tRNA from 1 species